CCUCAGGACGCCACGCCGAGCGGAAGUCCCUCUCGGAUCUCCCACAGCUUCUGCACGAGGAGCUUCCAGACUCUUCCGAGCGUUUCCUUCUCGGGACUGGGAGCGGAAGCUGGCGGAGUCCGACUGCAUCUGCUUGGAAACCGGACUCGGUCCAGGGCCGGAAUGGGUCCGACAUGGAAACCAGACCAGGUCCAGGGUCCGACGGGGUCCUCCUUAGAAACCAGAGCAGCUCCGGUUUCUGGUGACCAGGAGAAGACCCCCUGGAACACGAGACUCGCUCCAGGCCCCACGGAAUCCUGGGACAUGGCGGAAGCCAGCCCAAGGUGUAUUCAUAGAUGUCACCAAAGGAAGUAAUAUUCUCAGCAUGGCAAUGCACAACAGAAUCUGGAAAUGGAAUAAGAAGCCAUAGAAGUAGUUGGAAAGCCUAUAAGGUUUCCUGUGAAUGUUGCCUUCCCAGCCAGGAAUUAAAUAUUGAAGGGUUUAAGGAGUCAACCAUUAUCUUCCUCACUUCAGCCAGAGGUUGUAACGUGAUGCCCCUUGCCUCCUACUAAACAACACUAUACAUUCACAAAAUGGGUGCAUUUGAGAUUGACUGGGUAUUGACUGAGAAUAAUUGGCCUGUAUAGCUGGAUGCAAAUGAGAUGUGUCUCAUCUGGAUUACAGCAGUAACCCGGUAACUUUUCUACUUGCUUCAGAUUUGCCCUCUUACAGACAAUUUUCAACAAGACAGACUGAUUCUUUUGAAAAGUCACUCUUCUGUA